AUGGCGAGGAAGGAGGCAUGGAGGAGGAGCGGCUUGGUGAGGCAAUACACCAGGUCCAGCGUGCCGAGGAUGAGGUGGACGGCCGAGCUCGAGAGCAGCUUCAUGGGAGCCGUCGAGCGCCUCGGCGGCCGAGACAGCGCCAAGGUGACUCCGAAGCGCAUUCUUGAGCUGAUGGAUGUCCCAGGGCUCACCAUAUCCCACGUCAAGAGCCACCUUCAGAUGUACAGAUGCACACCGCAUGGCAAUGGAAAGAAAGGUGACGGAGGUGCCAAAAAUCCCUCUGCCUUUCUUCCUGAGACGCAGCCACAACUUGGCCUCGAGAAUCAUCCGUUUGCCACCGACGAGCGAGGCUCCGAAGGACUCACAUUCCUACCCAUGAAAAGGGCCAAGGCAGGGACAGAGGUUGCAGCCUCAUGCAAGAGCAUGCAAGGGAACAGUGGUAUGAGGAUGGUGAUGAUUCCUGGCAACCGGUGCUGCAUUGAUGAUUACGUGCAACUGCAAGCAAGGUCGUUCAUGGACAGGAUGAGGACCGUAAACGAGGGCCUCCGACGGCACAGCGCUGCUGCUGCAAGCCUCCAGGAAUUACGACCUUGGGUGGAAGGCCCAGAGGCCUCUAAGUCUAAGGAAAGCAAGCCGGAAGCAGUCCGUCGUCUGAACCAUACGGCGAGGCAGUUAUCUUCCAUCGAGAGCUAUGAGCGUGGGUGCUUCCUAUUCGGCAGUGCAACGAGCGGAGAAUAUGAGCCGGCGGCUUACUUGGGGGCCAGCGGAUGCUCGCCGUCGCCAUGGUUCGCCGGGGAGCAGAGAGCCGUGAAAGAUGUCUCUUCCUGGCCCAGCCAGAGCAGCUGUGCGCUCUCGCCGUCUUCGAGGAGCUUCAGCGACUGCUCGGGGCCUCCGGGCUGCAGCUUUUCUGGGCAGGGGAUUAACCUGGAACUUUCCCUGUCGAUACCUGGAUUGUAG
rnacentral:rRNA from 1 species